rnacentral:rRNA from 1 species
GAGAGAGAGACAUGCGCGCAUAUCAAUAAGCGGAGGAAAAGAAACUAACAAGGAUUCCCCUAGUAACGGCGAGUGAAGCGGGAAGAGCUCAAAUUUGAAAUCUUAAAGGGUUUCUACCUUGACGAAUUGUAGUUUAAAGAAGUGUUUUUCUGUUGGAGUUUUCGGUAAAAGUUCUUUGGAAUAGGACAUCAUAGAGGGUGAGAAUCCCGUAUUUGACCAUUUCUUUUCCAGCUGUGUGAUACACUUUCAAAGAGUCGGAUUGUUUGGGGAUGCAGUCCAAAAUGGGUGGUAAAUUUCAUCUAAAGCUAAAUAUUGGCGAGAGACCGAUAGCGAACAAGUACCGUGAGGGAAAGAUGAAAAGAACUUUGAAAAGAGAGUUAAACAGUACGUGAAAUUGUCAAAAGGGAAGCGUUUGACACCAGUGCUUGUUUUCUCGAAAAUCAAUUAAAAAAUGGCCUGGAUUUUGUGUUGUAUUGACUUUAUCAGCUUUCUGCACUCUUUUUCUUGUCUUUUUUAAUGCACUUUUCGUUUAACAAGUCAACAUCAAUUUCUUUUGUUGUAAAAGGAGUUCAUUGGAAGGUGGCUUUCACUUUCGGUGUAAAGUGUUUUAUAGCCUUUUAACUUCUGCAAUCGGAGAGAUUGAUGGUCUGCAGCGUAGAUCCUUCGGGGUUAGAUACAGUUUGUGCUAAGUUAUAGUUUUGUCAUAGACAACAUGUUGACUAUGAUUCAGUCAUGUAGCUUACUCGCAUGAUGUCUAUUUUACCUACGCUUAGGAUGUUGACAGCAGUAUAGACUGU